UACAGAGGGGGCUAGCGUUGCUCGGAAUCACUGGGCGUAAAGCGCACGUAGGCGGAUCUUUAAGUCAGGGGUGAAAUCCUGGAGCUCAACUCCAGAACUGCCUUUGAUACUGAGGGUCUCGAGUCCGGGAGAGGUGAGUGGAACUGCGAGUGUAGAGGUGAAAUUCGUAGAUAUUCGCAAGAACACCAGUGGCGAAGGCGGCUCACUGGCCCGGUACUGACGCUGAGGUGCGAAAGCGUGGGGAGCAAACAGG
rnacentral:rRNA from 1 species